CGCCUUAAUUAGGAUAGGGAGGCUGUGAGGGACUUAAUUAUCUUUCUCCUCUGUCUCUCUAGACUUUGAUCGUGGCUUGGUGGAGAUCGCGGAUCGAGCUCGGAUUGAUGUCGAUGUUGCGCCGGAAAGCCGUUCGAGCGUACAUGCGUCGUGGUAGUGCCGUUGGAGACCGGGCGAGCGUGGGAUUUUUCGCUUCUUUUGACUUCUCGCCGUUGUUGGACGAGCUUUUGAGAGCCCUCUUCUUCGGCUGCUGUUGUCGUGGUGACUGAUCGUGGAAAUGGAGUCGCGAGCUAGAUUCCUUCCCGUUUUGCUGCUGAUCUAGAGUUAUACGAGCUACAGAUAGUUGUAGUUUUUGGUUCUUUUACAUACUGAUGUUAGUGUCUCGCUGGAGUGAGUGUUUUUGUACCAGGAUACUAUGUAUAUGUAUUUGAACUGAUGUUAUUUAUAUAUGUUUUCUUUAGUAGCUCUA